UACGUAGGGGGCUAGCGUUGUCCGGAAUCAUUGGGCGUAAAGCGCGCGUAGGCGGCCAGAUAAGUCCGGUGUGAAAGUCACAGGCUCAACCUGUGAAUGCCGCUGGAAACUGUCUGGCUAGAGUCCGGAAGGGGCGAGUGGAAUUCCUGGUGUAGCGGUGAAAUGCGCAGAUAUCAGGAGGAACACCAGUGGCGAAGGCGCCGCUCUGGGCCGUAACUGACGCUGAGAAGCGAAAGCGUGGGGAGCAAACAGG
rnacentral:rRNA from 1 species